CGUGUAUUUGGGCAAGUCCCAGAUAUGUAAUAAUUUUAAUGUUGGGGCUUGCUCCUAUAGUGCUUGCCAUCUGUUACAUAUCUGCUCCUAUUGUUUCAGGGCACACGCAAAGGCUGUGUGCCCUAAUAAAAUGCACGUUAAACCCUACCUAACUACUGUGAAUGUUGAUGUUCUGGCAGGGCUUCUCUCCAAGUACCAUUCUACACAUCUUGUGGAGUAUUUGAUUGCAGGGUUUUCCCAAGGGUUUCAUACUGGCCUCAUUUACAUACCAGGGGGUACAUGGGAAGCCAACCUCCAAUCCGCUUUUGUGACACAGACGCAGUAGACUACCUACUACAAAUAGAACAAGACCAGGGAUUUGUCUUAGGUCCAUUUAUUGAUC